rnacentral:tRNA from 2 species
GGGGCUGUAGCUCAGUUGGGAGAGCGCCUCCUUUGCACGGAGGAGGUCAGGAGUUCGAGUCUCCUCAGCUCCACCA